AUUGAACGCUGGCGGCAGGCCUAACACAUGCAAGUCGAGCGGCAGCGGAAAGUAGCUUGCUACUUUGCCGGCGAGCGGCGGACGGGUGAGUAAUGUCUGGGAAACUGCCUGAUGGAGGGGGAUAACUACUGGAAACGGUAGCUAAUACCGCAUAACGUCGCAAGACCAAAGAGGGGGACCUUCGGGCCUCUUGCCAUCAGAUGUGCCCAGAUGGGAUUAGCCAGUAGGUGGGGUAACGGCUCACCUAGGCGACGAUCCCUAGCUGGUCUGAGAGGAUGAGCAGCCACACUGGAACUGAGACACGGUCCAGACUCCUACGGGAGGCAGCAGUGGGGAAUAUUGCACAAUGGGCGCAAGCCUGACGCAGCCAUGCCGCGUGUAUGAAGAAGGCCUUCGGGUUGUAAAGUACUUUCAGCGGGGAGGAAGGUGUUGAGGUUAAUAACCUCAGCAAUUGACGUUACCCGCAGAAGAAGCACCGGCUAACUCCGUGCCAGCCGCCGCGGUAA
rnacentral:rRNA from 1 species